GGAGAGUGGGAGUGGAGCUUUCCCUUUCCUCCUCCCGUGAUAGAGCGUGUAUAUGCUAGGACUCUCUUUUGUAUUAUUUGAGUGACUGCAGGUAUUGGUGACUGUGUGUGUGUGUGUGUGUGUGUGUCUAGAAGUGUGUGUGUUGGAGAGUAAAAGAGAUAAAAAGAGAGAGGGAGAGAGGCGAGCAGCGUUUCUUCUCCCCCUUCUAGCUUCCCCAUUUCCCUGCUCCCUGUCACUCCGUCCUUCCUCCCUUCCCGGACCACCCUGCCUCGAGCUGGAUAAGACCCCGGACCUCCCCAGGACCCUCCUCCCCUCACCCCUUUGACUCUCCUCACUUCUCCGACCCGCCUUGUCAACAGAGCAGCCACUCCACGAGCGGGGGAGGAUUUGGGCUCCGGGACCCAGUCACCGGCCGUGCACGGAUAACCCGCCAGGAAAUGAUUACGAGACACCAGGAUAAGUAACCAAGGACGAGCUCCCAAAGUGUGAUGGCAAUUUCAUCGAUAAGAACUCUUAAAUUCGCAAAAUUCUCUUGGCAUAAUUAUUAUAAAUAAUUUAUUUGCAAAUAAAGAGACGUGUCAAACGCUUACAAACAUAAUCAUCCGAGGAGUCUCUAAAGCAUUUGGAAAUACAUUCGAUACUUAUAGAGGAAUGGGUGGAGAUAAGAAUCUGCAUGGUCAUACCACAUAAACAACACAUGUUCCUUAUCUACCGUACCCCCUGUUGUGUAUCUUCCUUUAUCCUGUCCUAAGACCCAUUGUUCUGCAUCUACCCCCAUCCUGCUAAAGAUUCACGUUUACCUCAGCACCUCAUACUUCCUUUACCACAGCACAACCGACAUUCCUUUUCUUAUCUAAACAUGGGGACUCAAUACAUGAAUCAAUAAGAGUGCAUCAGUUCAAGACAUUUCCAUAACAAAGCCCGAAACCUGAAGGAUCUGGAGGAGUAGGCCAAAAUCCCUGCUGCAGUGUGUGCAAACCUGGUCAAGAACUACAGGAAACAUAUGAUCUCUGUAAUUGCACUGUAAGGUUUCUGUACCAAAUAUGAAGUUCUGGUUUUCUGAUGUAUCAAAUACUUAUGUCAU
ensembl:lncRNA